AGAACUCACUCCUGGGAGAAGAUGCUCCCCAGCCUCACCUGCUUCUGCUGUUCCUUCAGGAAGCUGGUGAUUCACUGACAGGUGGAGGCCUGGACUUUGAACUGGAUGAGCUUCUGUUUGAGGAUGUCUGGGCUGAUGGUGUUGAAGGCCGAGCUGAAGUCCACAAACAGGAUCCUGGGGUAAAUCCCUGGGUGGUCGAGGAGUUGCAGGAUGCAGUGUAGUAACACAGUUGACUGCAUCAUCUGCUGACCUGUUUUCCUGGUAGGCAACGUACAGGGGGUCCAGCAGGGGGCCUUUGAUGCCCUUCAGGUGCAACACAUUUUGCUCCGUUUUUCUUACCUUCACUCGCAGGAAGGGAACUGCCUGUUUCCAUGGCGAUGGCUCCAACAGUCCAGGAUGAUCAGGGAUUGGACAUUGAUUAUGAUGAUGUCAUCACAAAGCAUAACUUUUGAACUGAAAACAUUACCUCAUCACUCAUGGCUCCUGUUUUUUUUAUCCUAAACAUUUUCAUUAAUUUACUCUGAUCUGACAUGAAUCUAGUUGAUACUACGGAGUAUUAGGGCCAUUGUAGAUGAAAGAAAACAAUAAUGUGGGAGGAGUAAAUCUACACAAAAAAACUCAGAAAUUUCAAGAUUAAUUUUACAAAUUAACAAAGAAACUGAGAUGUUCUCUGAUGUCAAUGAAGAAAAUGAUUUUUCUUUUCUUAUUACCAGCAUAAAUCUAAGAAAUUAAAACUAGGACAUUUAAAGCCAGAAAUCGGAAAGAAAACAGAAAUAAGUUUAUGAUAAAAUAAUACUGGGGAGUUUGCUGUAAUUUUAGACCAGAUAUUUGUGACCAAAAUGCCAGAAGUCCUAUAGAGGUUACCCACUGCAGCGCUGCACCACCUCAGACUAUAACCUUAUUGUGUCUAUUUAUAUUUUUGAAUGCAGCAAAGCAGGAAAUAACAAUGAUGUUGAAUAAUUAUAGUUUUAGUGGCUUAUACAUGCUGUGUUCAGGUGAAAUUAUCUUUGAAACUGACUCUUGAUUGUCCUGUUAGUUUUAUCCUAUUGUUGUUAUUCAGUGAAAAGAUUGUGAACAUGUGAGUAGAAGAAGAAAAGGGGAGAAAGUUGUUCUCUCUUCAGUUUAAGGUUAAUCUCUGUGGCCUCUAGGGGGCUCCACAGAGCCACAGCAGCGAGUAUAAACAGACUAGAGUUAGCAGUUUGGUUUUCAUUAUAGUUUAUUUGAAUAUUAGCAAAAAAGGAUUUUAUUACAAUUUGAAAAGAAAGGUGAUCAAAUUUCCACUUAGGAGAAAUACAAGUUUGUCUUUGCUGUUUUAUUUAAGAUGAAGCACCGUUUCACAACCUGAUAACUAAUUCAUUACUUUUCUACUCUGAGAGAGAAAUCACUAAACUCACUUGACUGACUGGUGUCUUCCAUCAUGGAGAAAAUAUGCAUUAUUCAAUAUCACUGGUUAGAGCUAAUAUAGUACUUCUUCUACUGAAUCAUAACCAGAAACAAUCAGGCCUCUUCCACCAACUACCAGAAACAAAAAUUAUUUUAAUCAAGUUUAUGUAUCAGUGUUUGAAUCUUGUUUCUUGGUUUCUUUUCUGUUGUGCAGAAACCUGACUGCUGUGAAGCUGAAACUAAAGUGCAGAGAGCUCAGUGGUGAGAGGACUGGCAGUGUGAAGCCACACAGUUUAUUUAUUCUCUGACCUCAGAUCAGUGGUUGAAGCAGAAAGCAGGAGAUGUUUCACAGAGAAGGUUUCCUGAGACCAGAGAGGAAACCAGAACACUGAGGAGGAGGAGCUGAACUGAUCUCAGAUCACCAAGCAGCAGGAUGGAGGAAAGAUCUCUACUGUGGCUGAUCUCUCUGAUCUCUCUGCUGAGCUGCUCAACAAACCAAGCUGGUCUGACUGUGAGUCCCAGCAGAUCUCAGUUCUUUAAAGGAGACUCUGUGUCUCUGAGCUGUGAGGAGGACAACAUCUCUGCUGGAUGGACUGUGAGGAGAAACACAACCAGAGAAACCAGGACUCAGUGUGGAGAUGGAUGGGGGAAACCAGCU